UACGUAGGUGGCAAGCGUUGUCCGGAUUUACUGGGCGUAAAGCGUGCGCAGGCGGUUCGUUAAGUCAGAUGUGAAAGCCCCGAGCUCAACUUGGGAACUGCAUUUGAAACUGGCGGGCUGGAGUGUGGCAGAGGGGGGUGGAAUUCCACGUGUAGCAGUGAAAUGCGUAGAGAUGUGGAGGAACACCGAUGGCGAAGGCAGCCCCCUGGGCCAACACUGACGCUCAGGCACGAAAGCGUGGGGAGCAAACAGG
rnacentral:rRNA from 1 species